GAAGCAGGCCAGACCGCCGCUGGUGCAAGCAUCGAAAGGUGGCACUGGAGGAAGGUCCGGACUGCACAGGGCAGCGUAGCGGGUAACGCCCGUCCACCGCGAGGUGCGGAUCAGAGCCACAGAGACGAGCCGGUUCAGUCCGGAGUGAAACGCGGCAAUCUCUACGCGCAGCAACACCAAAUAGGCCGGCAUUGAAGCGGCUCGCUGAGCCGGCGGGUAGGUGGCAUCGAGCCAGGCGGGCAACCGCCCGGCCCAGAGGAAUGGCGGUCACGGCGCAAGGCCCGCAAGGGCGGCGCGCCGCACAGAAUCCGGCCUAUCGGCUUGCUUCACAC
rnacentral:RNase_P_RNA from 1 species